CAAAGGUGAAAAUUGGCUUAUCAAGCAUUAGUGAUAAACCCUAUACUGGUCAGUCCUGUAACAUAUCCAGUAGAUGGCUAAUCAACCAAAAGCAAUUCGUAGUCACAUAUUGAUCACAACUUGAAAGAAAACCUUUCUUGCUACAGUGAAGAUCUGCAAUGGCAGAAACAAGAGAGUAUCUCAGUGCCAGAUAUUGUGAUCUUUUCAGAAGAGAAGUCCUUCUUUAUACACAUUUCAAUUCCUGUAGAAAAAAUGACUGCUAUUCAGGUGGAACAAAACCAGGCGAUUCUCAAGACAGCUCCAUAGACAGAAGACCAAAGCAACACAGAAACCAGUUCUCUGUUUCUUCGUUGAACCACACAUUUGCUUGCCUGUAAACCCGUCAACACAGAUUUAUGUUCGCUUUUCUCCUUAUCCUUAUCAGACUGGUACAGCUUCAUGUCAGAGAACUGCCUACCUGGCUUUCAUACUCUCAGCUCUUGCCUGGUAUUAACAUUACCUCUCUAGCACCACAGAAACAAAAUGGUGGCUCGUGAGCAGCCCGUGAGGGUGCGUGUGGUUAACUUCCCUGUGUGCGUUAGCUCAGUGAGAAAAUUCAAGAGUCACUUGUCACUUCCCACUCUGAGAGCACAGAGCAUGACAAAUCUCUUUUUGUGGCAUCUUGAGGUUUUGUUGCACUGUAACUACUCUAGCUUUGUUAUCUUCUAUUUGUGCUGCAGAAACACUCUGUGGCCAGUUAUUGUAUGGACUGGUUUAGAAUAGGAAAUGAUGAAGCUUUAACACCAUUAGUCCCCUUAUUGUUGAAUAUGUUACAAUCAUUCUUUUUAAAUUCACAAAAGUUAACAAAGGGCUUUUCUAAAUAGAGCUUGAAUGUCUUAAAAAUAAAUCUGAGGCUUUAAUGCUCUGUAAUUAUCUUGUCUAUUAUCUCAUCUACCACUUAAUCUUUCAUGCUUUUUUCUGAUCUUUUAACUAUAUGGAGGGGUUGCCAUUUUUAAAAAACAUACAUCUUAAAAACAAUUCUGGGUAUUUUUGAUUUUUAUUUUUUUUUUGCUUCUGAAGCUUCAUAAAAUUCACUUGAAGGAAAUUAUUUUGAGUCUUCACACAGA